rnacentral:snRNA from 1 species
AUGCUUGCUUCAGCAGCACAUAUACUAAAAUAGGAACAAUACAAAGAAGAUUAGCAUGGUCCCUGAACAAGGAUGACACACAAAUUCAUGAAGUGUUCCCUAUUAAA